GCACCUUUUAGAUAAUGAGGAACAAAAAGAUUCAGUGUCUUUUUGUUUUUGGAAAGUACAAGUACUCGGCCACGUCCAAUUAUUUGUAAUAUUUGUAUUUUUAUUGAUCUUAGCCUUUUUUUAUAGUUCGUUCUUAUGUUUUACUGUUACACCACUGUCCAAGGUUAGGGUGAGGUUUCAGAUCCCGCUAACAUGUUAAACCUGCCGCAUUCUCUAUGUAUGUGCCUGUCCCAAGUCAGGAGCAUGGAGCCAGUUUCACAAAAAAAACUUAUGAUUAAGAUUGAUUGUGAGUCAUGAACAAUUCAGUAUACUUACGAUCAUUCUUAGUCGUAAGUUUCUUCUGUGAAACCGACUCCUAUAAUUUAGUGGUUAUCGUUUGCUUAUGUGUUACAUAUUUGUUUUUGGUUAAUUUUUGUCUGCAUAGAUUAGGCCGUUGGUUAUCUCGUUUGAAUCGUUCGACAUUGUUAUUUCGGGGCCUUUUAUGACUGACAAUGCGGUAUGGGGUUUGCUCAUGUUGAAAGCCUUACGGUUGUUAAUUUCUGUGUCAUUUUGGUCUUUUGAGUAAAGAGGUGUCACAUUGUCAACCAUACCACAUCUUCUUAUUUAUAAUAAAUGCAUUGAACAAAAUGACUAAAACCACUAGACUCCUAUCAUUUUCCGGAUUGCCCAAAGAUAUAUAUGUUAUUAUUAUACUUUUUCAUGAUAUAUUCAUCUUUUGUCUUAGAUUGAAAAUAAAACUGUGAAAGAACCCAAAGUCAUCGCCCCCUAUCCUCC
rnacentral:lncRNA from 1 species